GCCUUUCGGCCCUUUCUCGCUUCUUCUUCCCUCUUUUGUCUCUCUUCCUUGGUACUUGUGUUUGGUUUCACUCCUUCCAUGCCUUCUUCGAAGGCAUCAGAUACUCCGGUUGGACCUGUCACGCGUCGCUGCCACUUCGCUGAUCCCAGACACCCCCCAACCUGACCGUGCGUGGAGGUGAAACGUGCGUUGGAGGAACCUGUGAACGGAGGAGGCUGACCUGAACAGUUUCUCCAAGGAACCCUGGUUCCUUUCAGUGCACAGUGAUGCCUCGAAAUCAAAUCUGCGUGGAGAAACCUUUCACUUUAAAUGACUGUGGAGCCUUGGCUGUCCCAUGGCGCUGGACGUUUUUAAUUACCGGGGAAUGAGAUUGUGCUAAAGGGAGUGAGAAAACCUGUGUUUUCUGAGGCGGAUGAGAACCUGCCCUGACUCAUGCCUGGCCCUGGCAGUUGAGUGACAUCUCCAGCCUCAGGUGUGCUCACCUGCAUGGUGGGACGAGCUGACCCACCUCAGGGGGCUCUGAUGAGGAGGAAGUAAGAGUCCCCCUGUCAUUUUCACUCUAACGGAUGUUCCCCACACAGUGAAUGUGGGGAUAAUUGUCACCUCUGAAGCCCAGAGAGAGACUCGCCCUUCUGGGGGACGGGAGCGGUACCCGGAGGAUGGAGGGUUCAGAUGGGCAGACAGGAGCGGUCCAGCAGCGACCAGAGGUCGACCCUGUGCCCGCGGAUGCACACACGGAGGGACGGUGCCCGUGAGACAGCAUGCCAGGCACUUGGAUGUACAGGCUGUUGGUAAUAGGAGCCCAAACCUACUGUGUGCAGGGAUGGGACGCAGACCCAGCAUCGGAGAUGCGAUGAUUGCCCGAGAAUGGGAGUCGUGGCCGCACGACCGCGUGGGGCCGUGGACCACGGGGAAGAAACACUUCGGGGAAGGACACGCUCUGAACCUACCUACCCCCUCCCCGACCAUGCGCCCUGGGCUUCUGAGCUCUGGGAAGGUGUGGGAGAAAGAGCAAGGCCACAGGGGAGGGCAUCUGGCUGGGGACAAGAGGUUUGGGUCGCUUCUGCAGAGAUUUGGGGGUGGUUUGUCACUUGGCACUAUUGCGGCGAAAGCGCGCUCACGUGUGGCGUUGCCGCAGAAAGGUGCCUGGGACUUAGCGGCGAAGAAACAAACGCCACUGUUUGGAUGGUUGACCUAACGUGCCAACUCGUCACCCCGAAGCAAUGCCCAGGGGGCCGGGAGAACCUGAUCUCUGAGAGGGUCUUUAGGGUGUUUCCAGAAGAGAGGAGCAUUUGAAUGGUCGAGUCCAGGGGGCCCCCUCCCCAGUGUGGGUGGCCGUCACCCAGUCCAUUGGUGGCCCGAACAGAACGACAGGUGGAGGAGACAUCCAUCUUCUCCUGCCGUGGGGACCUCAGCGGCUUUCCUGGUCCUCGGGCUCGCACGCGGCACCUGCUGGGGCUUCUCGGCCUCCAUAGCCACUGAGCCGGCUCCUGCAAUCGUCUCCUCUCAUCUGUGUCUGUAUCUGUUUCUUCGGCUUCUCUGCUGGGUUUCUCUGAAGAACACUGACUAAGACGUUAUUUUGGAAAAAAAUAAUAGGGCAUGGAUGCCAGACUCGGCUUUCUCUACACAUGUCAAUUUCUCUCUCUCUCUCUCUUUUUUUUUUUUUAAACAAACCCUUUUAAAAAAUG
rnacentral:lncRNA from 1 species